UACGUAGGGCGCAAGCGUUGUCCGGAAUUAUUGGGCGUAAAGAGCUCGUAGGCGGCUUGUCACGUCGGGUGUGAAAGCCCGGGCUUAACCCGGGUCUGCAUUCGAUACGGGCUAGCUAGAGUGUGGUAGGGAGAUCGGAAUUCCUGGUGUAGCGGUGAAAUGCGUAGAUAUCGAGAAGAACACUAAGGGCGUAAGCAAGACUCUGGACAAAUGUUGACGCUCAUGCACGAAGGCUAGGGGAGCGAACGGG
rnacentral:rRNA from 1 species